ACAUACCCAGCUACAGGACGUUAGCUGUGCAGGUAAAACCCAAGACAGUCAGGUAAUACCUACUCCAGGAAGGAAAGAAUGAACUGUUGGUUAAGGAGAUCCAGACACCAAAUUGCUAGGGAUUUUAUGCAAGCUAGAAUUAAACUGAAAUAAAACGCCAUUUCACAAGUUCCAUUCUAAAGCACAGGAGAUCAGCUGAUGUUUUACAGACAGCUUUGGUGAGCCAUGAUGAAUGUGUGUCAGGCACACAUCGAGGAAGACUGGCUAUCCACAUAUGCAUACAUCUUUCUGGGAAAGCUCUCCAAGCCUACACCCAACAAAAAUACGUUUUGGGCAUCCCAUUAUGAAAAGGCUCACAAGUGUAGUGGGAUUUUUUUUCUAUUUGUUUUUUUCUUCUCUAAAGUGUGAAGAAUUGCAUCCAUGAGGUUUUUAAACACAGUAACAGACUGAAUAACUUUGUUUCUUGUAACCUGAAAUAGAAUAAAUCAGAGUGCUUUGGUAUUAUUAAUGGUAACGCGGAUAUUUAGAGUUCCUCAAUGCGAGAUGCCAAAGUCGUUCAUGUGCAUUGUCCCUGGAGCUUCAUGAACCUGGAGAACACCUACCUUAUGUAACAUAAAUAAUUAUUUGGGGAGGAGGGGAAGAUUAAACAUGAAAUUACAAUAAAAUUAUUUAGUUCUUACAUGCAAACGUGAUAGCUGAUGCAAGCCAGCUGGGAGUUAACACUUCUAUCAAAAAAUGGCUGACGGAAAUUCAGAAACCACAAGGUUAUGGAAAGCUGUGGUUUUCAAAGAGAGUCUAAAUGAGUUUGAAAUUCAGUGGGAUCUAGGACAUCUCGUUCCUUUGCGUUUCUUUGACGCAAGGUUGUGUGUGCACACCGACCAGCCCUGUGGGUCACUUGCUGUCGGCAGAGCUAACCCUGCAGUUGAAGAGUACAGGUUUUAAUAUUACCUUCCCAAUAAAGCAACUGGGAAAGAAGCGAGGACUUUCUCCAUUCUGCUCAUUCUGGGACCCUCUUUCCAAGCAACAUUACUCGUUAUUCCUAUGUUUAAUGCAGCGGAGCCUAGGACCCAAAGGGGAACGGGCACUCACUGCAGUACUUGCCAAACAAACAGGAACCGCUGGAUAAAGCCUGCGCAGAGGCAGGCAUGAGGAGGGAGAAUAACACUCCAGGUCAGCGCAUCAGGUGGACCGCCAGCCAACACAUGCUAAUGAUUCACCCCUCCGUGCUUUUGGAAAUCUUACUUGCAAAAAGGUAGAGGUAACCAUUCUCCUGUGCCAACCUUCUUGCGUGCGUCUGGGAAUCCUUAGCUGUAGUGCCAUAGGAUAUAACCAUGGCACCGUACUCACGGCACGUUUUCACUCUGGCCGGGGAUGUGCUGGUUGACAUGAUGACAAACACUGGAAUACGGAGCUCUGAGGCGUGACCUACCUUUGUACAGCAAGGCUAAACUCAUCUAACGAAUAUGACCAGAGAUGUCAAAUACAGAGAAGUGCAGUGCUCGCUACCUGCAAUACAAAUCCAAGUCUUCUCUUCCUGGGACAGUCUCUCCACAAAAGCAAAAAAUCGACACGUCCAGAGCACCGUCUGUGCUCUCAAGCGUGACAGUCUAAGAGUUUUGGUGACAAACGAUGCAAUGUGCAGAGUCUGGUACGCUCCCUCUGUUCGCCCAGGCCCUGGCCCCCUCGACCACCCAUACUGCACAUGUGUUUGCUCACUCCCCCCGCUGCCUUCCCAAGCAAGCCAACUUUUCCACUCUGAGCGGAAAUCCAGGUACAGCUGGCAGGAUGGUUUACUCCCCAGUCACUCUGACCAGGCAGAGUAUGAAUGCAAAAUGCAUCCAGCUUUACUCCCUGCACUCCAGCCAACGCUACCCUGCAAUUUUUUUGUGCCACCAUGCAGCCCCAAACAGUCUUGUAUCAUGCCCUUUGUCACAACACACGCUUCUUCAGUAGUGUGCUACAAAAACCACAGCUGUCCUUAUUUUGGGAAGUCUAAGUGAAAAAAACCAAAACCAAAACCAAACCAACCAAACAAAAAACCCCCACAAAAAACCACUGAAAGUAAUUAUGAUG